rnacentral:rRNA from 1 species
GACGAACGCUGGCGGCAUGCCUAAUACAUGCAAGUCGAACGCUGAAGCACUCUGCUUGCAGAGUGCGGAUGAGUGGCGAACGGGUGAGUAACACGUGGGAAAUCUGCCUAGGAGUGGGGGAUAACAUUCGGAAACGGAUGCUAAUACCGCAUAUCUUUUUGAACCGCAUGGUUCUUAAACGAAAGACGGCUUCGGCUGUCGCUCUUAGAUGAUCCCGCGGCGUAUUAGUUAGUUGGUGGGGUAAAGGCCUACCAAGACCAUGAUACGUAGCCGACCUGAGAGGGUGAUCGGCCACACUGGGACUGAGACACGGCCCAGACUCCUACGGGAGGCAGCAGUAGGGAAUCUUCCACAAUGGGUGAAAACCUGAUGGAGCAAUGCCGCGUGAAUGAAGAAGGUCUUCGGAUCGUAAAGUUCUGUUAUUAGAGAAGAACAAGUCAAGGAGUAACUGGCCUUUAUUUGACGGUAAUCAACCAGAAAGUCACGGCUAACUACGUG